AGGUUGGAAUAAUAACAUGUUGAGCUACUUAAAACAUUGGCUCGAAUCAAGGUUGUGCCUAGAUUUUGAGAAAAUUAACAACUAAGGAAUCAUUUUUCACGUAUCUCAUUGAGGUUUCAAACCCCGGCCUGGUCUGCUUGGCAAGCGUUCCCGGAUGUCUCGCGAUGUUCCGCCUCUGGGUUUAGAAACUGUCAUACUCUGUGAUAGAGAGUGACUUAAGCUAGUUGGGAGACUAACAUGUUAGUAAAGAAAGUUCUUCGCUGCACAUGUUUGAUAAAUAUAUUGGCCUAUACACAGUCCUGUGACAUUUAACGAAGACGGAGGGCUUAUUUUAAAGUGUCGGACAGGAAACGGACGACUGGCAAGCUGGUAACGUUACAGUACAGGUGUCCUGCUGCAAUGUCGAGGCGUAGCAGGAACAGCCGGGCGUGGCGUUACGUGUGGAGUGGAAUACGGCGAGACGCUGAUUCCCGGUCGCUGGUACUGGCCUCAGAGAGCGAGGAGUGGGGCUACGAACGCUUACAGUACAGUGACUCAGACUCUGAACCAGACUACAGGCCCGUGGUGCCGCCGGUCCCCAGUGCCGUGCCCGUUACCGGAGAGUCGUACUGCACCUGCGACUCCCAGGCCGAGCCCAGCUACAACCCACGUCUCCGGGGCUUCCACCGCAUCAAAGACUGCCACUGUGGAGAGGAAGACCAGGACUUCGACUGGGUGUGGGACGACAGUAACCGCUCCACGGCCACUUUGAUGACCUGCGACAACCGCAAAGUCAACUUCCACACGGAGUACAGCUGCGGCACAGCAGCCAUCAGAGGCUCCAAGGAGCUGGCAGAUGGACAACACUUCUGGGAGAUCAAGAUGACAUCACCAGUGUACGGGACAGAUAUGAUGGUAGGCAUCGGAACCUGUGACGUGAACCUAGAUAAGUACCGACAUACCUUCUGCAGCCUGUUGGGGAAAGAUGACGACAGCUGGGGUCUCUCCUACACUGGUCUGUUGCAUCAUAAAGGAGACAAGGUGAACUUCUCGUCACGUUUCGGCCAGGGCUCCAUCAUCGGAGUGCACCUGGACACAUGGCACGGAACACUCACCUUCUUUAAGAACCGCAAGUGCAUAGGCGUGGCGGCUACGGAGCUACAGAACAAGCGUUUCUACCCCAUGGCGUGUUCCACAGCAGCCAAGAGCAGCAUGAAGGUGAUCCGCUCCUGCUUCACGCCCACCUCCCUGCAGUACCUGUGCUGUGCCCGCCUCCGCCAGCUCCUCCCUGAGCGCCCAGACACCCUGAGCGUACUGCCGCUGCCCCCUGGCCUGCGCCACCUGCUACACAAUAAGCUGGGCUGGGUCCUCAGCCUCAACAACGGCCUCUUGAGGGCCCCAGCGGGGGAGGAAGGGAGAGGGGGGGCCUUGGGGUCUGACUCGCCCCCUGCGCCCCCCUUGGCCGGGGCCUUGUCCUCUGAAAGCGAUGACUCUGAGGGGUGUUCAUCGGACCCGGAGGCGUGUCAGAGGAAGAGAUGUCGUUGGACGUGACGGGAAUCCGACGUGACCCCCAAUAUAAACACAUGGGGCAAUCACAUGUACCUACGGGGGAAGGAUGACCAACCACACAGGAGGGUGAUUUUUACGAAGGAGGAGGCCGUACUGACCGAGAUGCAUGCUGGCCAUUUCGGAGUGAAGCGCAUUAAUGCCAAAAUCAACCUACCUACUGAUGUGGAAUUGUCAAGGAGGUGGACAGCUGGGCAAGUGAAAUAACCUUUUGUUUAUCAAUCACAUUCUAUUAUAUCUGAAAGUAUUAUGAUUUCAAUGAAUGUCAUAUCAGAGAGCACACAAUGUUUCAAUUUGUCACAGUGCUUAAAGCUCAGUACCCUGUCUACCCUGCCAGAAUUGUGAGAGGGUGAAGACUGGCACCGGAGUUGAAGCCCAUCAAAGUUGUUUCACCAUGGCACAUGAUCGGUAAGUGGACCUCAUCGGACCCUUCACGAAAUUCAGGUAUGGCAACAGCUGGUGUCUGACGGCGACCGAUCACCUCUACCAAGUGGGUGGAGGUAAUACCCAUUAAGGUCAGUAAAGGAAGAGUACGUGCUUAACUCUAAAUUCCCUUCUGUAACCCAUUAAAAAGGGUGCUUGGAACCAAAAAUAGAUUUUUGUUUUGUAUGAUACUGUAAGAAUAUUCAAAGAUAAAUAUACACAAUGCAGGGGACUAGUGGUCAAGAGGGAAUUAACGAUCAAUGGAAGUAGUUGUUUUUCAGUUCAACAUCUGUUUUGAAUCUUUGUAUUGGUUCCAACCAGCUACUCAUAGCUACAUGUGGCAAGUUCUAAUUGGUCCAAAUGGUCUAUACAUUGAGCCUGAAACAAGAUACUUGGUAUUUGGCCAUUGGCCCAAUUUUAGUGCAAGGAAUUCUAAUUGGUCAGCCACAUGCUAGGCUUGAGGCUAUAAACUACAUCCUGUCUCUUUGUUCAGUGGAGAAACAUUGAGAACAGGGAAGAAUGAACAUCUACAAUCUACUUUCCAGCAUAACAACUAUGAUUUGUUCUCUUUGAAUAAAUAUAUUUUUCUCCCCCUGAUUUGCUUUGGGGUCUGUGUUAUUGAAGAAUAACAUCAACUCCUAAAAAUACCCAUCAAGGACGAGACUGGCGAGGCCACCUCCAAGGCGAUGAUGGACAUCUUCAACACCAACGGUUCUCCUGAGGUCAUCUUGAGUGACCAAGGUCAUGAAUGCUGGAACAAGGUUUGAAUGAAUGGCCAUGGGCAAGUCCCUUAAUGGGUACCAGGAACGGUGGGAGAACAACCUGAAGAUCACUGAAACCCCACCUCAUAUGGUGGAAGUUGUCGAACCAGAUCAGAACGCCUUCGAGGACCAACUUCAGGCACGGACUGAGAAGGAUGUGGAGGUUUUUAACCAGGUGAGACUGAACAUCGACAAGGCGCAGGAGAAACAGAUGGAGAGCUAACAAAGGAGAAUCAAGAAGGGAACCAAGCGCUUCGACAUACGGACAGAUUACUUUGUUUGGAAGAAGGACGAAAGGAAGGCGAGAGCUGGGAAACCUCGAUAGCUCUUUCGCUCCUAGCUGGGGUCAUCAUCUGUUAAUUUGGACGAUCGACCACUGAAAGCCCUUAUGCCCUAAACUUCGGUGAAGCCCAAUAGACAAAGACCAUCGACUGUCCGAGCCCCCCAGGAGGUAUCCCAUCCACCAGAGCCAGUGAGUUCGGAUCAGUCUGAUUCUCUGUGUUCUGAGUCGGAGGGGGGCCAUCGAGGACAUAGGGGUUCUGCCCAACACCCAGAUGUGGAUCCACCUAAUGUCCUCCAUUACCAACCACCCUCCAAUUUUUCAUUACAUCAUCUACAGCUA